GGCCGCGUAGCUCAGUUGAUAGAGCGUGCACUGUGCAAAACCGUCGGUGGCGUCCAUCCGCGGGUUUGAAUCCCACCGAGGCCG
rnacentral:tRNA from 1 species